rnacentral:rRNA from 1 species
UAGUAACGGCGAGUGAAGCGCAACAGCUCAAAUUUGAAAUCUGGCUAUCCUUUCGUAGUCCGAGUUGUAAUUUGUAGAGGAUGCUUUUGGUGAGGUGCCUUCCGAGUUCCCUGGAACGGGACGCCAUAGAGGGUGAGAGCCCCGUACGGUUGGAUACCAAGCCUCUGUAUAGCUCCUUCAACGAGUCGAGUAGUUUGGGAAUGCUGCUCUAAAUGGGAGGUAUAUCUCUUCUAAAGCUAAAUAUAGGCUAGAGACCGAUAGCGCACAAGUAGAGUGAUCGAAAGAUGAAAAGCACUUUGAAAAGAGAGUUAAACAGCACGUGAAAUUGUUGAAAGGGAAGCGCCUAUGACCAGACUUGUUUCUGGCAGUUUUGUUAGCCCUCGGGCUGAUUUACUCUGUCCAGUACAGGCCAGCAUCAGUUUGCUGUCGGGGAGAAAGGCUCUGGGAACGUAGCUCCCCCCUUCUGGGGGGAGUGUUAUAGCCCUCUGCAUAAUACCCUUCGGCAGACUGAGGACCGCGCUUCGGCAAGGAUGCUGGCGUAAUGGUCACAGGACGCCCGUCUUGAAACACGGACCAAGGAGUCAACCUUAUGUGCGAGUGUUUGGGUGUAAAACCCCAGCGCGUAAUGAAAGUGAACGUAGGUGAGAGCUUCGGCGCAUCAUCGACCGAUUCUGAUGUUUUCGGAUGGAUUUGAGUAAGAGCACACAGGGUUGGACCCGAAAGAAGGUGAACUAUGCUUGUAUAGGGUGAAGCCAGAGGAAACUCUGGUGGAGGCUCGCAGCGGUUCUGACGUGCAAAUCGAUCGUCAAAUAUGAGCAUGGGGGCGAAAGACUAAUCGAACCUUCUAGUAGCUGGUUCCAGCCGAAGUUUCCCUCAGGAUAGCAGUGUUGAAUUUUCUUCAGUUUUAUGAGGUAAAGCGAAUGAUUAGGGACUCGGGGGCGCUAUAUUGCCUUCAUCCAUUCUCAAACUUUAAAUAUGUAAGAAGCCCUUGUUACUUAAUUGAACGUGGGCAU